CCCGCAUUAACCUGCCCAGGACAGGACACCGGCCAGUCCAAGGGCUUCGCCUUCAUCAGCUUCCACCGCCGGGAGGACGCGGCUCGCGCCAUCGCCGGGGUGUCCGGCUUCGGCUACGACCACCUCAUCCUCAACGUGGAGUGGGCCAAGCCAUCCACCAACUGAGGCACGGCUCUGCUGGACCCUGGAUGAGAAAGCCUGCGCAAGCGCGGUCGCCGAGGGCAGUAAAGAAGGCACAAAGCAGCUUG